AUUGAACGCUGGCGGCAUGCUUUACACAUGCAAGUCGAACGGUAACAGGUUAAGCUGACGAGUGGCGAACGGGUGAGUAAUGCAUCGGAACGUGCCCGGUCGUGGGGGAUAACGCAGCGAAAGCUGCGCUAAUACCGCAUACGAUCUGAGGAUGAAAGCGGGGGACCGUAAGGCCUCGCGCGAUCGGAGCGGCCGAUGUCAGAUUAGGUAGGUGGUGGGGUAAAGGCUCACCAAGCCGACGAUCUGUAGCUGGUCUGAGAGGACGACCAGCCACACUGGGACUGAGACAAGGCCCAGACUCCUACGGGAGGCAGCAGUGGGGAAUUUUGGACAAUGGGCGUAAGACUGAUCCAGCAAUGCCGCGUGCAGGAAGAAGGCCUUCGGGUUGUAAACUGCUUUUGUACGGGGCGAAAAGGCCCUCUCUAAUACAGGGGGCUCAUGACGGUACCGUAAGAAUAAGCACCGGCUAACUACGUGCCAGCAGCCACCGUAACAC
rnacentral:rRNA from 1 species